rnacentral:lncRNA from 1 species
CAGAGAUGUUGGAUGUGGAUCCCAAAAUGAAGACAAAACUGUCAGUCCCAUUGUAGUGAAGAAUUCUUCCCCAUCUCAAAAGAAGGAGAAGCCUGCAAGGAGGACACUUGGGUGCUUUGAACGUUCUGUCACCUGCACGCAGAACAGGAGCACUGCUGCCGUUCACAUGAGGCAUGCAAACCAAGACAGAAAAUCUCGCCCAGGAGAAAUCUGCUCUUUUCCAACUCGUACCACGGACGAGUAGACACGUGUCCGUUUACAAUGGGAAAAGAAUAUUCUGGGUCAAGAGGGCAGCAUCUGCAAAGGAACAGAGCUUAAUAUGUCUGUAAAAGAGCAACAGCAGGCACAGGUUUGAGUAUGGGUGCAGAUGCCUGAAAAGCACUGUGUCG